rnacentral:ncRNA from 1 species
CUGGUUCCGGUUCACCGCGCGGCAUGGGCCCCGUGGACCCGGCACU